AGCAGUGGGGAAUUUUGGACAAUGGGCGAAAGCCUGAUCCAGCAAUGCCGCGUGAGUGAAGAAGGCCUUCGGGUUGUAAAGCUCUUUUGUCAGGGAAGAAACGGUGAGGGCUAAUAUCCUUUGCUAAUGACGGUACCUGAAGAAUAAGCACCGGCUAACUACGUGCCAGCAGCCGCGGUAAUACGUAGGGUGCAAGCGUUAAUCGGAAUUACUGGGCGUAAAGCGUGCGCAGGCGGUUUUGUAAGUCUGAUGUGAAAUCCCCGGGCUCAACCUGGGAAUUGCAUUGGAGACUGCAAGGCUAGAAUCUGGCAGAGGGGGGUAGAAUUCCACGUGUAGCAGUGAAAUGCGUAGAUAUGUGGAGGAACACCGAUGGCGAAGGCAGCCCCCUGGGUCAAGAUUGACGCUCAUG
rnacentral:rRNA from 1 species